rnacentral:rRNA from 1 species
CGGACGGGUGAGUAACACGUGGAUAACCUACCUAUAAGACUGGGAUAACUUCGGGAAACCGGAGCUAAUACCGGAUAAUAUAUUGAACCGCAUGGUUCAAUGGUGAAAGACGGUUUUGCUGUCACUUAUAGAUGGAUCCGCGCCGCAUUAGCUAGUUGGUAAGGUAACGGCUUACCAAGGCAACGAUGCGUAGCCGACCUGAGAGGGUGAUCGGCCACACUGGAACUAAGACACGGUCCAGACUCCUACGGGAGGCAGCAGCA